UCGUACUCUUUUUGCCACUGUUGAGAGACUAACAAAACCCCAAAGUCAGAUUCCCACUGAUAUGCUAUCAGACAGCAAAUGCAAUGAGUUUGCUUCUUUCUUUUCUGAGAAGAUAAGCUGGAUGCCAACCGCCGUUAAACUGGAAAGAAGACGAAUAUGACAGCUUGCUGUGAGAGACAACGGUAGUCGUGCUCAUGGGGUGCAGGCACACGAAAGUUUGGAGCAGACACAGCGGUCAGAUUGUCCUGCACGUGUUCCCCUGCUCUAGUUUCAAGGUUGUGUGGUUCAGAGAGCCGUCAUCAAGGUCUUCCUCAUCCUGUUGCUCAACGACAUCCCCAUUGAGAAGAGUGAGAUUGUGAAGUGCAGGGGCAGAACUGUAUCAGCUGUGUUCAGAUGGCAGGAGGAUGUUGGGUUCACCAUCUGUAAAUACUUGAUUGUUAGAACAAUAAGUUUGGAUGAAGCUUUGUAUCAUGUGUUGUUGACUUGUGCAUGUAUGCAUUUAUUGUGAUGCUAACUUUUAUACAUUAUUUUAAUCAUUUAGACAUAUUUUUGGUUGUCAGUAAAUAAAAUAUAAAUAUUUUAUC